CAGUCACACCAAAGCUACAGACAGGGUGACUGUUACCUCUAGACUCGGACAGGCUGCCUCCGGAUAUGCAGCCCAAAGGGCGCUUCAUCCAUCCCAGAUUCAGGCAAGUUCUGCUCAGCAGCUCCAGCGAAGUUUUCCCCAAGAGGUUCCUGGCAGAAUCCUGACCAACUCUCACCAGCUGCGGUUCCAAAUCUUAGUGAACGUGGGUUGAAACUGGACAGAGCUCUAGCUGGGUUGGACCGAGUUUUGCUUGGUGUUUUAUCUGCCUGUACGCAGCUUGGGCAGUGCAUGCAAGAGCAGCGUGGACUGCGCUCCUAGGGCCAGACCUGCAACAUCAGCUUGUGCAGAAUGAGGGUGAGGCUAUGGACAUGCCCCUGACCCGCCAAACCCACUCUGAGAUGUGUAAUAACAGGUGGCAUUAUCACUUCUCCUAUACUUGGCCCUACCAGAGCAUAACUGGUGGGGUGUCAUUUCCCCUGGGGCUGGUGGGAAAACUGGCUUCCUGCUCCCUCUGUUGAGCAUCUGUGCAAAUACAUACAACACAUGGGGCAUGUCUAUCGCAGGAAUAGUCUGUUCUCUGCAGCCCGACCCUGGCUUCGGUGGGAGCAGGAUCCCUGCAGAUGCUGCUUCCAGGUUCAGACAUCUGCUCGGGACGCUCUGCUCUGCAGAUUGUGCUGCCUGCAAAGCAGCUGAUCCAGAUGGCCUCCUGCCUUUUCCCAUUUGCCUGCUGGGAAAAAUUAGAAAUGGGAUUGGAGCAGUAACAACUUUAUUGUCAAACGUCUGCUGGAGAGAGACAGCAUCUAGGCACUCAAGGGUGACAUGCUUCAUGCGCAAAGCUGCAUUCCUCCCGGCUAGAGGAGUCUGGGAAACAGACAAUGUGGAAGAGUCACAACAGGUAGCCUGCAUCUGCAGUAUGUGUUCAGCUCAAGUGCCCGAAGAAUGCGAGAUCCAUGUAUGCUCGGUCAAACCCGCUCCUGGCUGCAACUCACAAGUCCUGGUCACUGGGGAUAGCUCACUGGUGUCCACCGUCCCCCCAAGCCAUCAAGAUCAGCUGGGGCAAGCGUUUGGCAAGGCGGAAUUUUGCCGGCUUCCUCCAUGGCUUUCCCCUGAUUAUUAUUAAUGAUUUUUAAUCUGAUGCUAAAGAGGUGAGGCCAUUGGUGCUGUUGGUAACAGCUGUCUCUGAUUAACCAUGCAUUUAGAAGUCAUUUUCAUUUAAAUCCCAUAGCCAGCUAAUAACUCCCUUUGGAAGGCGUGGACGCCGUUGUGUCAACUGAAACAAAAAAUUCUUAAGUAGAAACAAAUUCAUCAUCAUCCUCUUAGUGCGAAUGCGUGUCCGCAAGAAAACCUCUGCCACAAGGGAGAGAGCAGGCCAGCCUUUGGAAAUACCAGUAAUGGGGGAGGCAGCUUGGAGCAGAACAAAUGGCUGCCCAAUUAAGAGACUCCGGGACCAGAUUCUAACAUCAUCAAACUUAUGUGAAUCCAGGGCAACUCCCAAUCUAGCCCUCUGCUCUUUUUUAAGGAUAUGGGUGAAUGUGGUUAGCCCUGGGUAAUCUGUAAAUAAGGAACUGACAAUGCUGUCCCCACCUAGCCUCAGGGCAGGCAGGCACAAGGUAACACAGAGCUCUCUACAUGCACCUUCCAAGUCCACAUCAGGGGUUUUGCACCAAUGCCCCAGUCCCAAAUCCAGAGGUAAAACAGCCUCUCUACUCCUCCUCCUCGAAAUUCCGAGUUAUGAAUCCCAGGAUCUCAUUAGCUUUUUUGGCCAUCCCAUCGUACUGGGAGCACUUGUUCAGCUGAUUUUCCACCACAACACUCAAAUCAUUUUCAGAGUCCCUGCUUCCUAGGAUAGAAGCCCCCAUCCUCUAAGCAUGACCAACAUUCUUUGUUCCUUCAUGUACAUAUUUACAUUUAGUCAUAUUAAAAUGCAUAUCUUUUGUUUGUGCCCAGUUUACAAAGGGAUCUAGAUCACACUGAAUCAGUGACCUGCCCUCUUCAUUAUUUACCGCUCCCUCAACUUUUAUGUCAUCUGCAAACUUCUUCCAUGAUGAUUUUAUGUUUUCUUCCAGGUCAUUGAUAAAACAUUUAUGAGCAUAGGGCUUAGAACCAAUUCUUGCAGGACCCCACUAGAAACACUCCCUUCAACUAUGAAUCCUCAUUUACAGUUACAUUUUGAGCCCAGCUAGCCAGUGUUUAAUCCAUUUAAUGUGUGCCACAUGAAUUUUAUAUCAUUUUAGUUUUUUAAUCAAAAUAUCAUGUGGUACGAAGUCAAAUGCCUUGCAGAAAUUUAAGAAUAUUAUGUCAAUACUAUUACCUUUAUUGAGCAAAUUUGUAAUCUUUUAAAAAAAUCAAGUUAGUUUGACAGGAUCCAUUUUCCAUAAACCCAUAUUGAUUUGCAUUAAUUACAUUACCCUCCUUUAAUUCUUUACUAAUUGAGACCCAUAUCAUCUGUUGCAUUUUCUUGCCCGGCACUAAUGUCAGACUGACUGGCCUAUGAUCGCCUGGGCCAUCCCAUUUACCCUUUUCUAAAUUAGCACAACAUUAGCUUUCAUCCAGUUUUCUGAAACUUCCCCAGUGCUCCAAGACUUAUUGAAAAGCAACAUUAAUGGUCCAGCAAGCUCCGUGGACAGCUCUUUGAAAACUCUUGGAGGCAAGUUAUCUGGACCUGCUGAUUUAAAAAUGUCUAACUUGAGUAGCUUCUGUUUAACAUCCUCCUGAGAUACUAGAGGAAUGAAAAGAGUGUAACCAUCACCAUAUGCUGGGACAAGAUGAUCUGUUUUUCCCCAAUACACAACAGAAAUAUUUAUUGAACACUUCUCUCUUCUCUGCACCAUUAUUGAUAAUUCAACCAUUUCUAUCUAGUAAUGGAUCAAUACAAUUGUCAAAAUUCUAUUUGUUCCAAAUAUAACUUAAGGAAAAUAAGGAGUUUAUCUCCACAGGCCAUAGAUUUCUUCUUGUGUGCGUUCACUUCUCUUAUCAAUUUUCUACAGUUUCUAACAGCUGAUUUAUAUUCAUUAUUAUCAACUUCCCCUUUGAUGGGUAGGGCUUAGACUCCACCCCUUCCUGUACAUUUCCAACUGGCUAGCUCCCUGCUCAAUAUGAUGGCUUCUGUUAAUCCCAUUUUAGAUGCCUAACACUCCCUGUGCAUUAUACAGGGAGCCUGGGCACCUAACUCCGGGUUGUGAAUUCCAUUAGGCAGUAUGGCACCUUAAAGUUAAGCACUGCAAUGCUUAAGUACUUUGUGAAUCUAGCCCAAAGUGUUUAAAGAAGUGAUAAAGCAUUAUUUUGAACUUUUUUGUAUACACAGACAUAGAUAGAGAUAUACACAGGUCUUUUGAAAAACACUGAAUGCAUUCACACUGACUAAACUUCAUAAAGCUCUUUUUUCCCUGCAGGACAUAGCUGUCCUGAUUUUAAAUCACUGCUGUUUUUCAGAAGGGUACCAAAAUGUCCCCCCAACAAGCAUUAUUAAUUUUAAAAGUGAAUGUUUACUAGUUUUAUUCUUCCACAUAGCACAGAUUUAAUAUUAAAACCAUGCAAAGCAUUUGAAAGUCUAAUUUAGUUUUCAUGCCCUCUGCUUCAUGUUUUACUUUGGCACUGCCCUCCUGCCUACUGCAUAUAAGCAAGUCAUUUGCACUUUUCAUUUCUGUUUCACUUUCUUGUCCUCACACACUAAGGGCAGGUGUAUACUUAAAAAGUUAGACCACUGCAGAACUUUAGUGAAGAUGCUACAUCAGCGUAGUUAAUACACUUCCCCGAGAGGCAGGUGCUGUGUUGACAGGAGAAAUCCUCCUAUCAACAUAGCACUAUCGACACCGGGGGUUAGGUCAGUAUAACUGUCACUCAGGGGUGUAGAGUCUUCACACCCCUAAGCGAUGUAGUUAUACUGAUGUAAGUUUGUGGUGUAGACCUGGCCUGAGUAGGACGAUGCAGAAGGCAUUGGGUCUUCCAGCGGUGCAGCAGAUUAUAUUCCGCAACCCUUCAUUUAUAUUAGUUAAGAUUAAUCACCACUUUCUAUUUGCAUCCCUUUUUAGAAAGUGUUUUAAUUACUGGGGCCUAAAAUUAUUUGCCAGUUUCCUCUGAAAGAAAAGUCGAGUGCUGUGAAAAAACUCUACAAAUAAAUCCCAACCCAUUCAAACAGAAAAGUCAGAAACUGUAAUUAAUUACCAAGCUCCCAGUAGCAGGACCCACAGUAGCUUCAUUAGGAGAAGGAAUCACAACUAUACUCUUCCCAACUAUAAGGGUGUUUUUACUCCAGUCAGAGUUUACUUAAGGUAAAGCCAACUGAUCUAAAUGUUCCCACUUCGAGAGUAUGUCAUUAAUUAUGUAUCUAGCAAGAAAUGAAAAAACUUGCUUCUCUUUCAUCUGGCAUUGGAAAUUUUUCUGAUAGCGAAAGAGAAAGAAAGAGAAAAAAAGAAAGAUUGAGAGAUUCAUCUGACAACCAAGUUCAUUAAAUACAUUGGGCUACUGGUGUGAAAGUUAGGUUCCAGAUUAUACUUAUUUUCAAAAAAGUGAUUUCACAUGACAUUGCAAUCCCAAAGUCUU